rnacentral:rRNA from 1 species
GGCAAAAGAGAGCUUGAUUGCAAGACAUACAGGUCGAGCAAGGAUGAAAAUCGGACUUAGUGAUCCGGUGGUUCUGCGUGGAAGGGCCAUCGCUCAACGGAUAAAAGCUACCCUGGGGAUAACAGGCUUAUCUCCCCCAAGAGUCCACAUCGACGGGGAGGUUUGGCACCUCGAUGUCGGCUCAUCACAUCCUGGGGCUGUAGUAGGUCCCAAGGGUUGGGCUGUUCGCCCAUUAAAGUGGUACGCGAGCUGGGUUCAGAACGUCGUGAGACAGUUCGGUCCCUAUCCGUCGCAGGCGUAGGAAAUUUGAGAAGACCUGUCCUUAGUACGAGAGGACCGGGAUGGACGUACCUCUGGUGUACCAGUUGUCCUGCCAAGGGCAUGGCUGGGUAGCUAUGUACGGAAUGGAUAAGCGCUGAAAGCAUCUAAGCGCGAAGCCAACUUCAAGAUAAGAUUUCCCACCGUAAGGGUAAGACCCCAGAAAGACUAUCUGGUUGAUAGGUCGAAGGUGUAAGUGCAGCAAUGUAUUUAGCUUAUCGAUACUAAUAGGUCGAGGACUUGACCAAU